GAUAUGUACAAUAAUAAAUACAUUUUUAUAUUAGAUGAAUAUUAUUGAUAUUGCUGAUAGUGAACUCUCACAGCAGAAAUUUGAAAUUAAUAUAUGAUGACUUAUCAUGUUUAGACGCACAAUACAAAAAAUGUAUGUAAUAUAUUAUAUACCGAUCUACGCGCAAUUUAAAUAGUGAAAAAUAGAUAAUUGUGUUAACAAAAUCCGCAAUAUUUUAACAUACUUGUAACGCAAACAAUCUAUGUGUACAGAACAAAAACAUACAAAUUCUGUGUAAUAAAUAAAAGAAAUAUACAAUGUAAAAAGGGAAAAAAUACAUAUAUAUAACGAGCAGCUCUAUACUUUUCUAUACAUCUAUAUUUAUUGGUGGCUACUAUUAACUGGAUUUCGGUAAAGUGCAUGUGCACUUAUUUUCUAUAGUAAACGUAACGUAUUAUAAAUAAAUGCGUGUAUAUGCACUCUACGGAAUUCGGCCAUUAUAUUUUUUCCACUAAUAUAAAUGAUAGGCAAAAAAAUCUUAGGAUCGAGUCCGAGAAAGACAGUGCCGGUUUGGGUGCUUGGCCGUUCCCGUGCAAACUCAAGAAAUAUGUAUUGCACCUGAUACGUUUCGGAAAAAAAGAUCACCUAAUCUAAAAUAUGCGAUUGGAAUGAUAGUUACACAUAAGUAUAAAAUGCGAGAUAAUACAUAUAUAAAUCCUUCUGGUGUCAUUAUUGGGUGGCACAACAAAGGCCACAUUCCAUGCUCUCCAUAUAAGAGAUUAUAUUGUACUUACAACGAUAUUAAACAAGAAUGUAUACAAAAAUAUAACAUCGAAGAUUGGGAAUUGCAACCAUACUACGUGUUGUUAAAUGAAUAUAACCUGGUGUUUUAUGUUCCACAAUGUGUUAUAACAUCGACAUACAAAGAAUGGAUAAACCAUAUAUU